UUGGCAUAAUGAGGAAGAUAAUUGUUCUUUGGUCUAUUUGAUGCUAAUAUCCUCCUGCUCAUUCUGA
rfam:Triticum aestivum genome assembly, contig: Triticum_aestivum_CS42_TGACv1_scaffold_434326_5DL